UACGUAGGUCCCAAGCGUUGUUCGGAUUCAUUGGGCGUAAAGGGUGCGUAGGCGGCGCGGUAAGUCGGGUGUGAAAUCUCGGGGCUUAACUCCGAAACUGCAUUCGAUACUGCCGUGCUUGAGGACUGGAGAGGAGACUGGAAUUUACGGUGUAGCGGUGAAAUGCGUAGAUAUCGUAAGGAAGACCAGUGGCGAAGGCGGGUCUCUGGACAGUUCCUGACGCUGAGGCACGAAGGCCAGGGGAGCAAACGGG
rnacentral:rRNA from 1 species